rnacentral:lncRNA from 1 species
GUCACUCUACACCAUGUCGGAAUUCAAUUAGGAGUGACAUUUUAGAAUGUGUGACUACUUGGUCGAUCGUUCCGAUUAGUUCGAUGUACUCUAGCCUCCACAAUAAAGUAACAACAAUGGAUAAUGAAAAAAAAAUGAUGUAGAGAAUCGGGUGACACCCGAGUAGUGCGAAAUUGAGAAGAAAAUAAUGUUAGAGGGAAAACAAAAAAGGAUAAAAGGAAAAUAAUAGAGAAUCGCUAAAAAGCUAGGCAAACGGACUAGUGUCCGGGAGUCGCUCCAGAGAAGGAGGAAAGUCGCUCAAAAAAACAAUGUCACCGAACGUACCGGAGAAAUGCUCAUUAACUACGACGACAAGACGGACAUUUACCAACUACAAGGUUUCCCAAGUUACUUGAAGUCUGAGUGCGACAAAUUACGUCGAACUCAAUCGUACAACCAGAGUAGUUGGAAGUUUAAUAUUAAUCAUUUCCUUAGUGUUCUGUGUUUGAAGUGUAUGAACUAUACUUGUAAUCUAGAACUAAAGACUAACGUCUCUGUGCCACUCCCAAAGGAAAGGAGAAAGAUAAGGGAAGGUUCAUCUUCAGUCAUUAGUGCAUCAGGUAUUUGUCCUCCAAUGAA